GUACCAGCAGCCGCGGUAAUACCGACAGCCCGAGUGAUGGCCGAUCUUAUUGGGCCUAAAGCGUCCGUAGCUGGCUACGCAAGUCCGUCGGGAAAUCCACUCGCCCAACGAGUGGGCGUCCGACGGAAACUGCAUAGCUUGGGACCGGUAGGCUCGAAGGGUACGUUCGGGGUAGGAGUGAAAUCCCAUAAUCCCGCACGGACCACCGAUGGCGAAAGCACUUCGAGAAAACGGAUCCGACAGUGAGGGACGAAAGCCAGGGUCUCCAACCGGAUUAGAAACCCUAGUAGUCC
rnacentral:rRNA from 1 species